AUUGAACGCUGGCGGCAUGCCUUACACAUGCAAGUCGAACGGCAGCACGGGUGCUUGCACCUGGUGGCGAGUGGCGAACGGGUGAGUAAUAUAUCGGAACGUACCUUAUUGUGGGGGAUAACGCAGCGAAAGCUGUGCUAAUACCGCAUAAUCCCUAAGGGGGAAAGCAGGGGACCGUAAGGCCUCGCGCAAUUAGAGCGGCCGAUACCUGAUUAGCUAGUUGGUGAGGUAAAGGCUCACCAAGGCAACGAUCAGUAGCUGGUCUGAGAGGACGAUCAGCCACACUGGGACUGAGACACGGCCCAGACUCCGACGGGAGGCAGCAGUGGGGAAUUUUGGACAAUGGGGGCAACCCUGAUCCAGCAAUGCCGCGUGAGUGAAGAAGGCCUUCGGGUUGUAAAGCUCUUUUGUCAGGGAAGAAACAGCAGCUCUAACACAGUAUGCGAAUGACGGUACCUGAAGAAUAAGCACCGGCUAACUACGUGCCAGCAGCCGCCGUAA
rnacentral:rRNA from 1 species